rnacentral:rRNA from 1 species
AGAGGUAUCGUAAUUGAAGAGGUUUGGAAAGACCCACCACAGAAGGUAAUAGUCCUGUAUGUUAAACGAGAAGACUUUAGAUAUGAUCCAGAGUACCACGGGACACGUGAAACCCUGUGGGAAGCAGGAGGGACCACCCUCCAAGGCUAAAUACUACCUAGUGACCGAUAGCGUAUAGUACCGUGAGGGAAAGGUGAAAAGAACCCCGGGAGGGGAGUGAAAUAGAACCUGAAACCCUGCACUUACAAGCUGUGGAAGCACAUUUCUUGUGUGACCGCGUACUUUUUGUAGAACGGGCCAACGAGUUACGUUAAGUAGCAAGGUUAAGCACUUAAGGUGCGGAGCCGUAGCGAAAGCGAGUUUUAACUGAGCGUUCAGUUACUUGACGUAGACCCGAAACCGGGCGACCUACCCAUGAGCAGGAUGAAGCGAAAGUAAAAUUUCGUGGAGGUCCGAACCCACGAGCGUUGAAAAGCUCGGGGAUGACUUGUGGGUAGCGGUGAAAUUCCAAUCGAGCCCGGAGAUAGCUGGUUCUCCCCGAAAUAGCUUUAGGGCUAGCCUCAAGGUGAGAGAUACGGAGGUAGAGCACUGAAUGUCCUAGGGGGUAUUGCACCUACCGAAGACUAUCAAACUCCGAAUGCCGUCAUCUUAUACUUGGGAGUCAGACUGUGGGUGAUAAGAUUCAUAGUCGAAAGGGCAACAGCCCAGAUCGUCAGCUAAGGUCCCUAAAUGUAAGUUAAGUGGUAAAGGAUGUGGGAUUGCACAGACAACCAGGAUGUUGGCUUAGAAGCAGCCACUCAUUCAAAGAGUGCGUAAUAGCUCACUGGUCGAGUGAUCCUGCGCCGAAGAUUUCCGGGGCUAAAACUUACUACCGAAGCUACGGCAUCAGUAAUGAUGGGUAGGGGAGCUUCCCAUACGGGUUGAAGCAUGACCGUAAGGACAUGUGGACAGUAUGGGAGUGAGAAUGUUGGCAUGAGUAGCGAGAUGUGGGUGAGAAUCCCACAGGCCGUAAACCCAAGGUUUCCAGGGGAAGGUUCGUCCGCCCUGGGUUAGUCGGGACCUAAGCUGAGGCCGAAAGGCGUAGGUGAUGGACAACAGGUUGAUAUUCCUGUACUACCGAUAACCGUUUGAGAGAAGGGAUGACACAGUAGGAUAAGCUAAGCACACUGUUGGUUAUGUGUGCCCAAGCAUUGAGGCAGUCAAAGUAGGCAAAUCCGCUUUGAUAAUGCUGGGAUGUGAUGGGGAGCGAAAUUUAGUAGCGAAGUAGCUGAUUUCACACUGUCAAGAAAAGUCUCUAUCGAGGUUAAAGGUACCCGUACCGCAAACCGACACAGGUGGGUGAGGAGAGUAUCCUAAGGCCAGCGAGAGAACUGUUGUUAAGGAACUCGGCAAAAUGACCCCGUAACUUAGGGAUAAGGGGUGCCACCAUCAGGUGGCCGCAGAGAAUAGGCCCAAGCGACUGUUUACCAAAAACAUAGGUUUCUGCUAAGUCGCAAGACGAUGUAUAGGAGCUGACGCCUGCCCGGUGCUGGAA